AAACUUGCAAAAUUUUAAUUCACAUCUUCUGAAUGCAACUCAGAUACUUUAAUUAAGAUAAAGCUU
rnacentral:tRNA from 1 species